UGGGGAAUAUUGGACAAUGGGCGCAAGCCUGAUCCAGCCAUGCCGCGUGGGUGAAGAAGGCCUUCGGGUUGUAAAGCCCUUUUGUCCGGAACGAAAAGCGAUCGGUUAAUACCCGGUCGUGCUGACGGUACCGGAAGAAUAAGCACCGGCUAACUUCGUGCCAGCAGCCGCGGUAAUACGAAGGGUGCAAGCGUUACUCGGAAUCACUGGGCGUAAAGCGUGCGUAGGUGGUUUUUUAAGUCUGUCGUGAAAGCCCUGGGCUCAACCUGGGAACGGCGAUGGAUACUGGAAAGCUAGAGUGCGGUAGAGGGGUGUGGAAUUCCCGGUGUAGCGGUGAAAUGCGUAGAGAUCGGGAGGAACACCAGUGGCGAAGGCGGCACCCUGGACCAGCACUGACGCUCAUGCACGAAAGCGUGGGGAGCAAAC
rnacentral:rRNA from 1 species